rnacentral:lncRNA from 10 species
GCAUUAGACUCUCCAUGGGCUCCAUAGACUCUCCUGUACCUUACGACUAGGCACAGGAGCGUUUCCCCGGUGAAAUGGAGAAGAGGACACUUGGUCUUUUCAACUUUACUAGGAGGGCUCCUUUCUUCCCAGUCCGUAAGGAGGGGUCUGACUUUCAUUUCCACCCCAGCAUUAUCACCUUAACUCUCAUUCCAGUCAAUCCCGAAACUCCGUUGCCCUACCCACUUCACCCUUCUUUUGUUUGUCCUGAUUUGAUUCCUGCGUUCUCACAGAGGGCUACCUGGACUUUGAACCUCCACCCCCCUUUCUACAUUCUUGCAUUCCAGAAACAUAUGAAGCUCAUUUCUGCCACCCUUCCUAGAAAACUGGUUCCUGACAGAGACAUGUGGAAAGGUAAGUAAACCUGGGCCCAAGAUCACAGAGCACACAGCUGGAAUUCACAGCAAGACCUGAUUGACUUCGAAGUCAGUGGUCUUUCCCCUGCUUCCCACGAGACAGUUUUGAUCAUCGAUGAUUUUCUGGUUCUAAUGAGAUCAAGGACAUGAAGAGGCUGAGUGCCUCCAUGAGCUUCAUUAUUUUCCAUGAUCUGACCUCUCAUUCUCUUAAGCUUUGGAGUUGGAUGAAGGAAGAACUCUGAAAAAAAGUAUCUGCACCCAAGGACCCACACCCAAGGAGCAGUACCAGAGGGAACACAUCUGAAGAGCCCUAUCUGGAUUUGCCAACAUGAUUUAGAUGAUAAGAUACUGGACUUUGAGCUGGUGCCAUAAUGGGAUGAGGCUUUGGGAGUCCAAAGGGAGAUAAGUGUAAGUGUAUUUCACCGGUGAAGAAUGUAAAACAUAAAAGGCCAGAACAUGAACUCUGCAGCUAAUCUCCAAAGAUGGCUCUCAGUGAACCACACCUCAUGGAAUUCAUGUCCUUGCAUAGUCCCCUCCCGCACUGAAUCUGGGUUAACUUUGUGACUUUCUCUAACUAUCAGAAUGUGACAGAAGUAACAAUAUGAUACAUCCCUCCAUUUAGUGAGAUCAUCUUUAAUUUCUCCCAAUAAUGUUUUGUAGUUUUCUGUGUAGAGGUCUUACAAAUUUUUUAGAUUGAUUCUUUGACAUGUGACUUUUCUAUGCUGUUGAUAAAUGAUAUUUUGUUAAAAUUUUUAUUUUCUAAUUGCUUGUUACUAGCAUAUAGAAACUUAAUUACAUAUAGAAACUAAGUACAGGACUUUGUUUAUUGACUAUGUAUUCAGUGGCCUUGGUUAAUUCCUCUUUUAAUUGUAAUAGUUUUUCUGUAGUUCUUUUGGAUUUUUCUAUGUGUAUAAUUAUAUAUGAAUAAUGACAGAUUCAUUUCUUAAUUUCC